GGGGGCGACAUGGUUUCGACGCGGAUAUCAAAACUUGAGGUGCAUGCCGAGAGGGUAGUGACUCUCGUUAAUCAAUCGCUGUAACUUUUAUAGUUGCCAACGACGAAAACUACGCACUAGCGGCUUAAAAACCCCGCUAACGUUCACAAUUCGUGCCUGCUAGGAGAAGUGAACGGCAAAGCAGCAGGACAGCGCCUAGUUCUCUCCCGGGGCCGAAGCGUUAAAAAUAAUCGGGAUCGCAGAAAGUGCCCUGACCGUCGGGCCACUGGAUGCUAAAUCAGUAGACGGACUCUAAGCAUGUAGAGCCAAUAGCGGCGAAUCAGCGGACGCGGGUUCAACUCCCGCCGCCUCCACCA
rnacentral:tmRNA from 1 species